CGUAGGGUGCGAGCGUUAAUCGGAAUUACUGGGCGUAAAGCGUGCGCAGGCGGUAAUGUAAGACAGAUGUGAAAUCCCCGGGCUUAACCUGGGACCUGCAUUUGUGACUGCAUUGCUGGAGUGCGGCAGAGGGGGAUGGAAUUCCGCGUGUAGCAGUGAAAUGCGUAGAUAUGCGGAGGAACACCGAUGGCGAAGGCAAUCCCCUGGGCCUGCACUGACGCUCAUGCACGAAAGCGUGGGGAGCAAACAGGAUUAGAUACCCUGGUAGUCCACGCCCUAAACGAUGUCAACUGGUUGUUGGGUCUUCACUGACUCGGUAACGAAGCUAACGCGUGAAGUUGACCGCCUGGGGAGUACGGCCGCAAGGUUG
rnacentral:rRNA from 1 species